rnacentral:ncRNA from 1 species
AUUGGGAAACAAUAACAUGGUUUAUGUGCUCGUUCUGGGUAAAUAGAGUUUCUAUCAUUUAUGGUAGUUACUUGUUCCCCGGAUAGUUUAGUUACGUAGCCAAUUGUGGAACUUUCUUGCUAAAAUUUUUAAGAAUACUAAUUGGGUUAAACCAGUUAGUUCUUAUUAAUUAUAACGAUUAUCAAUUAACAAUCAAUUCAGAACUGGCACGGACUUGGGGAAUCCGACUGUCUAAUUAAAACAAAGCAUUGUGAUGGCCCUAGCGGGUGUUGACACAAUGUGAUUUCUGCCCAGUGCUCUGAAUGUCAAAGUGAAGAAAUUCAAGUAAGCGCGGGUCAACGGCGGGAGUAACUAUGACUCUCUUAAGGACUUUCGUCCUAUUACGGUACAAUCUGUUAUGGUAAGGAUUUUAAAUGCCAUUUUGGGUUCCCGGUUGACCUCAUCAGUCGACUGGGAUCCGUGUCAGCGAGGUUUCC